CAUUCUGGGACCCAAACAAGACACAUUUUUGUUCCUCUGGAGACCAAAUGGGAGACUAAAGCGUUGUCUGCCCUGCACUGAGAGACAAGAACCUAGCUACCACGAGCAGUCAAUGGAGGUCAACGGCCAUGAUGCUCUGUGGGUCACUCUUGUGCAUCUCCACAAAGUCAACUUCAACAACCUUGGUGACCUAUUGGAGAUGCUGUAGUCCAACAAUCGCAGUAGGCAUGGAAUUUAUUCAGGACUGAAGAAUGGAGCCGAGGAGGCUGCUCAUAUAUUCAUCCAUAUUUGGCGGAAUGAUCUGUGGUUGCAAGUGGACCUGGCAGUCUGACGGUAGGAGUGAUCUGCGCUCUGAAGUGAUAAGUAGAUUAAUAUUGAAGGGGAAUUCCAUCUGGUAGUAACUAAAGUAAUAAUCCGCCUUUUGCCAAGUAAUUAGGUUGCCUAGUGCUGUUACAUUAUGGACUCCUUGGGUGUCAAGCUGUCCUUGCUCAAGAAGAGUCUUAUCUAUCACAACGGAAGUAUUAGACAGUUGCAAAAUUCUACUGACUAAGCGAUUGACUGUGUAAUCCUUCUGAGGAAUUAAUUUCAAGAGGUUCAUAUUCUCUAUUGUCAUGUGCAGACAAAAAGAUGCUAGAACAAGUUGUAGAAUAAUUUGAUAUAUGUGUUCUGUGAAGGUACUCUUUUGAGGGCAACCACUCAAAUUAACUGAAUUGUCCUCGAGGAAGAACAUCUCUCCUUGUGUACACAGUGGAGAUGAGAUGCAAUAUAUGGUAUUCAGUAGCCAAGCUAUCUCCCAAAAGGGCAUGGGUUAGGAAUCCAAGAAGUUCUGCUCUAAUAGGAGAUGAUUCUGACAUGAAAACUGAAGUAAAGCUUUUGCUAUCCUCAAGAGAAGCAGCUUCUCCAUGA
rnacentral:lncRNA from 1 species